UAAUUUUUUUCACACUCCCUCCUUUUUUCCCCAACCUUUUCAGUCUAGAAACUUCUGCCUUUCACACUUCCGACUAAUAGACUCUCUCUCUCUUUCUGUAGGAAACCGCAAUCUCUUCAAAUUGAAAUUCUCUCUCUACAGGACAGAGAGGCUGAUUUAUUGGAAAAUAUAGUAGAAGGUUUCAGAAUUCUGCCGAUAUCGGAGGCCACGGGGCAGACAACUCAUUCCGUUCAGCCGACUCUUUCAUUUCAGGCGACAUCACUACCAACUCCUUCAUUUCAAGCUACAAGACAGCAAACCGCUUCAUUUCAGGCCACAACACUGUCAACUCCUUCAUUUCAGGCAAGACAACAAACUUUUUCAUUUCAGACCACGGAAUAGUCAACUCCUUCCACUCAGCCGACUCAUUCGUUUCAGGCGACGUCACUACCAACUCCUUCAUUCCAACCUCCUGUUAAUCCCACACCACCACAAGCAACAUCCAAUAAGCGUGCUAAACGUGAGUCUUCACAUCAUUGGACUGUCGAUGGAAUAGGUAAUCAUUAUCGUUUCGUUAUAAUUUCUGCCGUUGUUGAUGUAUAGGACAUUAAAGUAUAACCGAAAUGUAUUGCUUUGUAGUCUUCAAUUAGCAGUAAGGAGCAAAAUGUGAGGCAGGCUAAAGUUGUUACUCUUUGUUUUCCCUCUCAUCUCCUCUUCUUUCUUCCUCUGUUCUACUCAUCCCUCUCAUCCCUGUGUGUGAAUCAGAUCGUUACAUUGGUGCUUUUACUAAGGGUCGGACUGGCUUGAAACCAGCUCAUUGUUUUAUCUAUUUUAUGAAGUUCUGCAA